rnacentral:piRNA from 1 species
UCACCUAGGAGACAAUGAGAUGCCUGUGCC